UAUAUUUUGGUGUAGGACGCACAAAGAGUUUUGAUUUCUUAGGAUUUAGUUUAAAUCUAAAAAAUAUAA
rnacentral:tRNA from 1 species